AGCCUUUUGUGGUUCAUAAGGGUGAUGAUUGGGUUUUUACACUCAUGUGUGACACGUAUCUCCCGCAAACCUUAUUAGGAUCUCAGCACACUACCCAUUUGACA
ensembl:snoRNA